GUGUCGGUGGACAGGUGGUGCGAUGGUUGUCGUCAGCUCGUGUCGUGAGAUGUUGGGUUAAGUCCCGCAACGAGCGCAACCCUCGUCCUAUGUUGCCAGCGGGUCAUGCCGGGGACUCAUGGGAGACUGCCGGGGUCAACUCGGAGGAAGUGGGGAUGACGUCAAAUCAUCAUGCCCCUUAUGUCUUGGGCUUCACGCAUGCUACAAUGGCCGGUACAAAGGGCUGCGAUACCGCGAGGUGGAGCGAAUCCCAGAAAGCCGGUCUCAGUUCGGAUUGGGGUCUGCAACUCGACCCCAUGAAGUCGGAGUCGCUAGUAAUCGCAGAUCAGCAACGCCUGCCGGUCGAAUUACGUUCCCGGGUCCUU
rnacentral:rRNA from 1 species